rnacentral:misc_RNA from 1 species
UGAAUCACAAAUCAUCGACCA